CUGAGUUUGAUCCUGGCUCAGAUUGAACGCUGGCGGCAGGCCUAACACAUGCAAGUCGAGCGGUAACAGAAAGUAGCUUGCUACUUUGCUGACGAGCGGCGGACGGGUGAGUAAUGCUUGGGAACAUGCCUUGAGGUGGGGGACAACAGUUGGAAACGACUGCUAAUACCCGCAUAAUGUCUACGGACCAAAGGGGGCUUCGGCUCUCAGCCUUUAGAUUGGCCCAAGUGGGAUUAGCUAGUUGGUGAGGUAAUGGCUCACCAAGGCAACGAUCCCUAGCUGGUUUGAGAGGAUGAUCAGCCACACUGGGACUGAGACACGGCCCAGACUCCUACGGGAGGCAGCAGUGGGGAAUAUUGCACAAUGGGCGCAAGCCUGAUGCAGCCAUGCCGCGUGUGUGAAGAAGGCCUUCGGGUUGUAAAGCACUUUCAGUCAGGAGGAAAGGUUAGUAGUUAAUACCUGCUAGGUGUGACGUUA
rnacentral:rRNA from 1 species